UUACGGCUAUAUCACGAUGAAACACCGGUUCUCAUACGAUCACCUCAGUGAAGCAACGUCGAUCCCGGUUAGUACCUAGAGUGGUGACCACUUGGGAAUACCAAAUGCUGCAAG